rnacentral:rRNA from 1 species
AGCGAACGCUGGCGGCAGGCUUAACACAUGCAAGUCGAGCGGGCGUAGCAAUACGUCAGCGGCAGACGGGUGAGUAACGCGUGGGAACAUACCUUUUGGUUCGGAACAACACAGGGAAACGUUGUGCUAAUACCGGAUAAGCCCUUACGGGGAAGGAUUAUCGCCGAAGAUUGGCCCGCGUCUGAUUAGCUAGUUGGUGAGGUAACGGCUCACCAAGGCGACGAUCAGUAGCUGGCUGAGAGGAUGAUCAGCCACAUUGGGACUGAGACACGGCCCAAACUCCUACGGGAGGCAGCAGUGGGGAAUAUUGGACAAUGGGCGAAAGCCUGAUCCAGCCAUGCCGCGUGAGUGAUGAAGGCCC